rnacentral:rRNA from 1 species
CCUACGGGGGGCAGCAGUGAGGAAUAUUGGUCAAUGGACGAGAGUCUGAACCAGCCAAGUAGCGUGAAGGAUGACUGCCCUAUGGGUUGUAAACUUCUUUUAUAAAGGAAUAAAACGAGGCACGUGUGCCUUUUUGCAUGUACUUUAUGAAUAAGGAUCGGCUAACUCCGUGCCAGCAGCCGCGGUAAUACGGAGGAGCCGAGCGUUAUCCGGAUUUAUUGGGUUUAAAGGGAGCGUAGAUGGGUUGUUAAGUCAGUUGUGAAAGUUUGCGGCUCAACCGUAAAAUUGCAAUUGAUACUGGCAGUCGUGAGUACAGUUGAGGUAGGCGGAAUUCGUGGUGUAGCGGUGAAAUGCUUAGAUAUCACGAAGAACCCCGAUUGCGAAGGCAGCUUACUAAACUGUGACUGACAUUGAUGCUCGAAAGUGUGGGUAUCAAACAGGAUUAGAUACCCCUGUAGUC